AUCAGUCAUCCCUACCCCCUUUGGCUGUAAUAGAAACGAAGACAUAUAAUUAUCCCCAAAUCAAUAUUUCCGCCGGCACUUGGAACAUCUCCCCCGUAUUCAUUUCAGAAAGGGUAUGGAAGUUUCUCCAUUGCUAUCCAUGAAGGCAGAUACGAAUAUAAAACCAUAGAAGAAAUUUGAACUGAAGAGAAACUCAUGUUGAUUAAUAUCCGAUGUAGAACUUAGAGAAUGAAGAAACGAAACAUUGGGGGUUGAAAACGGGAAAAAUUUCGAUGUUAGUGAAAACCGAAGUGGUAGUAAGGAAUAACUUGAAAUACUUUAAGACUGGACACACAAUCAGAUACCUUUCAAUCUGCUUGAAAUUUUGAAUUUCAUACUGUGUGAGUAUUUGUUUGAAUCAGGUUCCUUCCAAAUUAGAUUGAUGUGGUAAUUGUACAGAUAUAAGAUUACGAUUUCACUUAAAAAUUUCAGAUUUUGGGUGUAUAAGAAUGCAAUGUAUGGAGGAAAAAUCUUGAAAUGGAUUAAUAACAAUUUGUCCUAUUAUGCUUUUUUAAAAUACAAAGUGAUAUUGAUGGAAAUGCCCCUGCACUGUUUGCAGGAACCAUUUCUGUUAUCUUAUUAUA